GGCAGGCGGAGCUACCAUGCAGUCGAGCGGAACGAUGGAAGCUUGCUUCCAGGCGUCGAGCGGCGGACGGGUGAGUAAUGCAUAGGAAUCUGCCCGGUAGUGGGGGAUAACCUGGGGAAACCCAGGCUAAUACCGCAUACGUCCUACGGGAGAAAGCAGGGGAUCUUCGGACCUUGCGCUAUCGGAUGAGCCUAUGUCGGAUUAGCUAGUUGGUGAGGUAAUGGCUCACCAAGGCCGCGAUCCGUAGCUGGUCUGAGAGGAUGAUCAGCCACAUCGGGACUGAGACACGGCCCGAACUCCUACGGGAGGCAGCAGUGGGGAAUAUUGGACAAUGGGCGAAAGCCUGAUCCAGCCAUGCCGCGUGUGUGAAGAAGGCUUUCGGGUUGUAAAGCACUUUCAGUGGGGAAGAAAUCCUCGGGGCCAAUACCCUCGAGGGAGGACAUCACCCACAGAAGAAGCACCGGCUAACUCCGUGCCAGCAGCCGCGGUAAUACGGAGGGUGCGAGCGUUAAUCGGAAUUACUGGGCGUAAAGCGCGCGUAGGCGGCGUGAUAAGCCGGUUGUGAAAGCCCCGGGCUCAACCUGGGAACGGCAUCCGGAACUGUCAGGCUAGAGUGCAGGAGAGGAAGGUAGAAUUCCCGGUGUAGCGGUGAAAUGCGUAGAGAUCGGGAGGAAUACCAGUGGCGAAGGCGGCCUUCUGGACUGACACUGACGCUGAGGUGCGAAAGCGUGGGUAGCAAACAGGAUUAGAUACCCUGGUAGUCCACGCCGUAAACGAUGUCGACUAGCCGUUGGGGUCCUUGUGACCUUUGUGGCGCAGUUAACGCGAUAAGUCGACCGCCUGGGGAGUACGGCCGCAAGGUUAAAACUCAAAUGAAUUGACGGGGGCCCGCACAAGCGGUGGAGCAUGUGGUUUAAUUCGAUGCAACGCGAAGAACCUUACCUACUCUUGACAUCGUGCGAACUUUCCAGAGAUGGAUUGGUGCCUUCGGGAACGCACAGACAGGUGCUGCAUGGCCGUCGUCAGCUCGUGUUGUGAAAUGUUGGGUUAAGUCCCGUAACGAGCGCAACCCUUGUCCCUAUUUGCCAGCACGUAAUGGUGGGAACUCUAGGGAGACUGCCGGUGACAAACCGGAGGAAGGUGGGGACGACGUCAGGUCAUCAUGGCCCUUACGAGUAGGGCUACACACGUGCUACAAUGGCCGGUACAAAGGGUUGCGAAGCCGCGAGGUGGAGCUAAUCCCGAAAAGCCGGUCUCAGUCCGGAUCGGAGUCUGCAACUCGACUCCGUGAAGUCGGAAUCGCUAGUAAUCGUGAAUCAGAAUGUCACGGUGAAUACGUUCCCGGGCCUUGUACACACCGCCCGUCACACCAUGGGAGUGGACUGCACCAGAAGUGGUUAGCCUAACUUCGGAGGGCGAUCACCACGGCGGUACGGA
rnacentral:rRNA from 1 species